CACGUAGGGGGCAAGCGUUGUCCGGAUUUAUUGGGCGUAAAGAGCUCGUAGGCGGCUCAGUAAGUCAGGUGCGAAACCUCCAGGCUCAACCUGGAGACGCCACCUGAUACUGCUGUGGCUAGAGUCCGGUAGGGGAGCGUGGAAUUCCUGGUGUAGCGGUGAAAUGCGCAGAUAUCAGGAGGAACACCAGUGGCGAAGGCGGCAUCCUGGACCGACACUGACGCUGAGGAGCGAAAGCCAGGGGAGCAAACGGG
rnacentral:rRNA from 1 species